rnacentral:rRNA from 1 species
AGAGUUUGACCCUGGCUCAGGAUGAACGCUGGCGGCGUGCCUAACACAUGCAAGUCGAACGAAGCACCUUACCGGAUUCUUCGGAUGAAGGUCUGGUGACUGAGUGGCGGACGGGUGAGUAACGCGUGGGUAGCCUGCCCUGUACAGGGGGAUAACAGCUGGAAACGGCUGCUAAUACCGCAUAAGCGCACGAGGAGACAUCUCCUAGUGUGAAAAACUCCGGUGGUACAGGAUGGGCCCGCGUCUGAUUAGCUGGUUGGCAGGGUAACGGCCUACCAAGGCAACGAUCAGUAGCCGGUCUGAGAGGAUGAACGGCCACAUUGGAACUGAGACACGGUCCAAACUCCUACGGGAGGCAGCAGUGGGGAAUAUUGCACAAUGGGGGAAACCCUGACGCAGCGACGCCGCGUGGAGGAAGAAGGUCUUCGGAUUGUAAACUCCUGUUGUUGAGGAAGAUAAUGACGGUACUCAACAAGGAAGUGACGGCUAACUACGUGCCAGCAGCCGCGGUAAAACGUAGGUCACAAGCGUUGUCCGGAAUUACUGGGUGUAAAGGGAGCGCAGGCGGGCGAUCAAGUUGGAAGAGAAAUCCAUGGGCUCAACCCAUGAACUGCUUUCAAAACUGAUUGUCUUGAGUAGUGCAGAGGUAGGCGGAAUUCCCGGUGUAGCGGUGGAAUGCGUAGAUAUCGGGAGGAACACCAGUGGCGAAGGCGGCCUACUGGGCACCAACUGACGCUGAGGCUCGAAAGUGUGGGUAGCAAACAGGAUUAGAUACCCUGGUAGUCCACACCGUAACGAUGAUUACUAGGUGUUGGAGGAUUGACCCCUUCAGUGCCGCAGUUAACACAAUAAGUAAUCCACCUGGGGAGUACGACCGCAAGGUUGAAACUCAAAGGAAUUGACGGGGGCCCGCACAAGCAGUGGAGUAUGUGGUUUAAUUCGACGCAACGCGAAGAACCUUACCAAGUCUUGACAUCCUGCGACGAUGCUAGAAAUAGUAUUUUCCUUCGGGACGCAGAGACAGGUGGUGCAUGGUUGUCGUCAGCUCGUGUCGUGAGAUGUUGGGUUAAGUCCCGCAACGAGCGCAACCCUUAUGGUCAGUUACUACGCAAGAGGACUCUGGCCAGACUGCCGUUGACAAAACGGAGGAAGGUGGGGAUGACGUCAAAUCAUCAUGCCCUUUAUGACUUGGGCUACACACGUACUACAAUGGCGUUAAACAAAGAGAAGCAAGACCGCGAGGUGGAGCAAAACUCAGAAACAACGUCCCAGUUCGGACUGCAGGCUGCAACUCGCCUGCACGAAGUCGGAAUUGCUAGUAAUCGUGGAUCAGCAUGCCACGGUGAACACGUUCCCGGGCCUUGUACACACCGCCCGUCACACCAUGAGAGCCGGGGGGACCCGAAGUCGGUAGUCUAACCGCAAGGAGGACGCCGCCGAAGGUAAAACUGGUGAUUGGGGUGAAGUCGUAACAAGGUA